UUUCGUUUUGAAUGACAGGCGCGCUGAAAGACUGAAGAUACGAUUUUCAACGAACUACUUGAAUUCUUCAUUCAACUUUACAUCUAUCAAGCAUUGAAAUAAGAUUUUUAUCGGGGGAGAACACCCAACAGAAAGACCCGGGCCAUUCACCAACAACAGAUCCUCCACACACAACCCCAGCCAUCGUCCUAAAGGACUGCGAGAAUGGGAACCCUUUGGCCAGUGGCAGUGUUUCCAUUAAGAUGGAUGGAGAGUUGAAGAUGAGGGGCGUUGACGUUUCCCUGGGAGUUAGCCUGCUCUACUCAAUGUAUCAAAUCUAUAAUGUCGCUUACCCAAAGUGCCUGAGAAAGACAAUAUCGUUUUUGGAGGCUUUUGUUUUUUUGUUUUUGUUUUUUUUUUAGGAGUGGACCAGUCCCUAUUUGUGUGGAGUUUAUAUGAUAGUUCUGUCUUCUGCUAUUUCACUUACAAUUAAAGGGAUAGCUCACCCAAAAAUGAAAAUUAUCAUAAUUUACUCACCAGCAGCCAUCACCUGUCUGGUUAUCAACAUUCUUCAAAAUAUCUCUUGUAUUCAACAGAAGAAAGAGUCACGUUUUGAUCAACUUGGGGGUGAGUAAAUGAUGAUAAUCUAAAGUUUUGUGUGAACUAUCCCUUUAAGCGAAACAGAACAUUGGGCAUUGUUAACCAUGUUCUCUCCAUCCAUCCAGCUAUCUCUUUAAAGGGUUAGUUCACCCAAAAAUGAAUAACUCACCCUCAUGUCGUACCAAG